rnacentral:lncRNA from 1 species
ACGUGUUCUCCCAUUAAAAUUAGAGUUUAUUAGUUUAAGCUCGGCAACUAGUAGAAUAGAGGUCAACAUUUAAGGUCAGGGUAAUUUGUGAAGUGAAACUUUAAUUGUGAUCGGAGAAUAGUACAAAAAUCAAUUCAAAGAACUGCAUUUAAGUUUCACCUUAAAAGUAAUUAUGCUUGUACAGAUUAAGUACAUUAGCACACGUACACUGCUUAUAUACUUGUAUAUAAGUUAUUUGACAACACUUAGUCAUAUUGUUUCUAGAGUCUGUUUGGAUACAAGACUAAAAGUACUUUUGAGAGUUUCUGGAAAAAAGCUCUAUAUUAUUUUUGUUAGUGGUCUGAAUUAUGCACACACCCUCACAUACUGCAUACAAUACAAUGUGCAAGUAUCUUGAAGGAUAAAGAAAACAUAAGAUUUCUGAAUUACCUUCUGUAAACUACAGGCACAAUACCAGCUCUGUAUUGGGCAAUUUGCUGAAACACAGGUUGAGAAAGAUCAAAAUGGUGAUUGGGAGGGUCACACCAUCCACCAGGGGGGCAGAAAUUAGUGGCAGUGACUACAAUGGUGCCACGGAGGCACCAUUGUGGGUCAUUUGCACAUUUGAUUUGGUAGCAUGAGCCACAACUCAAGCCAUUGUUGAACAAGGCAGUGCUAAGUGCUGCUGUGUUAGUC